GCUCCCAUGGCGUAGUGGUCACUGCGCUCGCUUUGCACGCGUGAGAUCCGGGUUCGAUUCCCGGCGGGGUCA
rnacentral:tRNA from 1 species